rnacentral:tRNA from 1 species
ACCUGGCUGGCUUAGUCAGUCAAAGCAUGUGACUCUUGAUCUCAGGGUUUUAAGUUCGAGCCCCAUGUUGGGUA